GCUUCCAUAGCUCAGUUGGUAGAGCACUUCCAUGGUAAGGAAGAGGUCACCGGUUCGAGUCCGGUUGGAAGCU
rnacentral:tRNA from 1 species